rnacentral:lncRNA from 1 species
GAACUUACCGGUGAUAAAAAAAACCUCUAUCACGAAUCAGGUCAUUGGAGCGCAAUUCGUUGCUUCACAAUCUUCUCCUACGCAUCACACAUUCACAAAAAUUAGAUCCCCUAACUACACACUAUCACACCAAAACAAAAGGUAUAACUCCAACCGACCUUACAGAAAUUGAAAGCAACAAAACAACCAAAACUCCCCAUACCCAAAAUGAACAAAAGAAAUCGGAAAUCCAAGACGCAAAGAUGUGACGACAAAUUAUGAAUAGAAUAGAAGAAGAAAGCAAAAAAAGAAAAGAAAAGAAAAUGUAGAGAAAGGGAAGAGAAGAACGUCAGAAACCAGAGACUUUUAGGAAAAAGAAAAAUAAAAUAAAAAUUAAAUUAAAUUAAAAUAAAUUAUCCUAACUUCCCACUAAUACCUAACUCCUCCAGAAUCCUACCCACUAACCACAUCCAACUACCUCAGAAGUCUACUUCCACCGAACCACUACC